CCCUUAGAUGUUCUGGGCCGCACACGCGCUACACUGGCAGGUUCAUCGAGCUUCAUGCCCUGAUCUGAGAAGAACGGGAAAUCUUUGAACACCUGCCGUGCUUGGGAUAGAUGUUUGCAAUUAUUCAUCUUCAACGAGGAUUGCCUUGUAAGCGCACGUCAUCAGCAUGCAUUGAAUACGACCCUGUAUUCUGUACACACCGCCCGUCGCUCCUACCGAUUGAAGUUUUCGGUGAAUUUACUGGAGAUCCCUUUUGAAGGUGGUUCGCCACUGGAAGAAGUAUUCAAAAGUAAAUGAAUCGAAUGCUUUAGAGGAAGGAGAAGUCGUAACA
rnacentral:rRNA from 1 species